GGGCCCGCACAAGCGGUGGAGCAUGCGGUUUAAUUCGAUGCAACGCGAAAAACCUUACCUACUCUUGACAUCCUUGGAAGAAUCUAGAGAUAGAUUUGUGCCUUCGGGAACCAAGUGACAGGUGCUGCAUGGCUGUCGUCAGCUCGUGUCGUGAGAUGUUGGGUUAAGUCCCGUAACGAGCGCAACCCUUAUCCCUUGUUGCCAGCACGUAAUGGUGGGAACUCUAGGGAGACUGCCGGUGACAAACCGGAGGAAGGCGGGGACGAUGUCAAGUCAUCAUGGCCCUUACGAGUAGGGCUACACGCGUGCUACAAUGGUCGGUACAGAGGGCAGCUACCGGGUGACCGGAUGCGAAUCUCUAAAGCCGAUCUCAGUUCGGAUUGGAGUCUGCAACUCGACUCUAUGAAGCUGGAAUC
rnacentral:rRNA from 1 species